rnacentral:rRNA from 1 species
UACGAAGGGGGCUAGCGUUGUUCGGAAUUACUGGGCGUAAAGCGCGUGUAGGCGGGUCUUUAAGUCAGGGGUGAAAUGCCAAGGCUCAACCUUGGAACUGCCUUUGAUACUGGAGACCUUGAGUCCGGGAGAGGUGAGUGGAAUUGCGAGUGUAGAGGUGAAAUUCGUAGAUAUUAGGAAGAACACCAGUGGCGAAGGCGGCUCACUGGAUCGGUACUGACGCUGAGGUGCGAAAGCGUGGGGAGCAAACAGG